UACGUAGGGGGCAAGCGUUGUCCGGAUUUAUUGGGCGUAAAGAGCGUGUAGGCGGCUUGGUAGGUCCGCUGUGAAAACUCGAGGCUCAACCUCGAGAUGUCGGCGGAAACCACUUGGCUAGAGUCCGGAAGAGGAGAGUGGAAUUCCCGGUGUAGCGGUGAAAUGCGCAGAUAUCGGGAAGAACACCUAUGGCGAAGGCAGCUCUCUGGGACGGUACUGACGCUGAGACGCGAAAAGCGUGGGGAGCGAACAGG
rnacentral:rRNA from 1 species